CAUGUGGCUUAAUUUGACUCAACGCGGGAAAUCUUACCGGGUCCGGACACACUGAGGAUUGACAGAUAUAUACCCCGUGAUUUUAUCGCGGGGUUGAAAGAUGCUAGUUCUUUCAUGAUUAUGUGAUAGGUGGUGCAUGGCCGUUCUUAGUUCGUGGAGUGAUCUGUCUGCUUAAUUGCGUAUCAAUAAUAGAGACCUAGUAUACGCGUAGACUCAUGCGGUAGUGACCCCCCUUCACAGGGCGCGUGUCGCACGUAUGUUAUACGCACAGGUCUCCGAUAGCAACGAACGUGACCGUACUCUAUUGUUGCAGCGACAAUACCUUUCAACGGGUAUUACCGCUGCUUAGCAAGAUUCGUCUUGCAUUAAACUAUAGAGACCGCUGUUUCUUCUUUAAACCAGAGGAAGGAUACGGCAAUAACAGGUCUGUGAU
rnacentral:rRNA from 1 species